rnacentral:rRNA from 1 species
AGAGUUUGAUCCUGGCUCAGGACGAACGCUGGCGGUGUGCUUCACACAUGCAAGUCGAGCGAAUGAAGUAGGUAGCUUGCUACUUAUGGAUUUAGCGGCGGACGGGUGAGUAAUAUAUAGGAAUCUGCCCUAGAGCGGGGAACAACAGACCGAAAGGUUUGCUAAUGCCCCAUAGGUACGCAGUCUUCGGAUUGUUUAUUAAAGGAGUAAUCCACUCUAGGAUGAGCCUGUAUCCGAUUAGCUAGUUGGCGGGGUAAAGGCCCACCAAGGCUACGAUCGGUAGUUGGUCUGAGAGGAUGAUCAGCCACAAUGGGACUGAGACACGGCCCAUACUCCUACGGGAGGCAGCAGUGGGGAAUUUUACACAAUGGGGGAAACCCUGAUGUAGCGACACCGCGUGAACGAAGAAGCCUUUUGGGGCGUAAAGUUCUGUCGGCUGGAACGAAAAAAAUGACGGUACCAGCAAAGGAAGCAUCGGCUAACUACGUGCCAGCAGCCGCGGUAAGACGUAGGAUGCAAGCGUUGUCCGGAUUUAUUGGGCGUAAAGAGUUCGUAGGCGGUUAUUUAAGUCUGAUGUUAAAUACUGUGGCCCAACCACAGAACUGCAUUGGAUACUGGAUGACUUGAGUGCGGUAGAGGCAAGUGGAAUUCCCAGUGUAGCGGUGAAAUGCGUAGA